ACUUAAAGCCGAUAAAGUAAAAUUUUGUCAGCACAAGAGUCUUUGCCCGACAAAAAAUUUAAUUCGUCGGCUCUAAACAUUUAGACCUAUGUCGAUGAAAAGUUUGUUGGCAAAGAACAUUCAAGCCGACAAAUAAACUAAUAGUUGGCAAAAACAUGUCCGUUCGUCAUCAAGAGAGGAGCGCGAAUUUAUUCUUUCCUGCUCUUUUUUUUUUUUUGUCUUUUCGAUUCCCCGCUCAAUUUUUCAGUUUAAAGAAUUUCCCCCUUAAAUCUAAAUUCAAUGUAUUUUCUACAAACCCUGUUAUAUGCGGAUAGCCCAGCCCCCUUCUCUCUCUCCCUCUCUCUCUCACGGUGCCACCGUUCGCUUUCCGUCAACAUUGUUUUUUGGCUCGCCAUCGUCAUCGCUUCAUCUACUCUCUAUUGCCGUUGCCGUUGAAGUGCCCCUGCUACUCUAGCUUCGUAAUCGCUAGUACUGGGUGCUUCGUUGCACUUCGUUUCUCUAAAACGUUUUGGGUUGUGAUGACAUGCCUAUUCACAUGUGAACAAAGGUUCUUUGCUCUCAAUUAUGCUGCAGAUGCUGCCUGCACUGUUCUACGGGUUGAUUAGCCCUUCCCCAUUUUCUACUAUGGUGCUAUAUCAUCCAAGGUUUGAGGUCGCAAACUCAUGGUCUUCAGUAAGCCACUAAAUUCUUCUCAUCUUGCCCCAUGACACAAGCUCCUGCAUAUUUGGUGCUAAUGGAUUUUUGAAGGCCAUUUGAUAUAAAUCUGGGAAUGCUCAUUUUCUUGCGUGGAAAUGAAGCUGGGAAUGCCCCUUUCCUCAUGACACAAGCUCUUGCAUAAUGCUACAUGGCAGCCGACUUUAAGGAAUGGCAGUAGGAUAAUUUUAUUGUGUGACAUGCUUUUGUAUAAGCACUCUAGAUGUACAUUUGAAAUUUAUCAAUCAAUAAAGUAUUAUUUCUUAACAAUUUUUUUGUAUUGUAUUUGGAUUUGCAUAUAUAAUAGUUGAGCAUUAAAG